CCAGACAGGAGGAAUUCACAGUCCGAGUGGGAUUAAGCAUUGAGAUACGAGGCGUGGAACUCGAUCUCUCUUACGGAGUGUUUCUUGUUUUUCUUUUUCGGGCAACGCCUCACUGUGGCUGCCCAAGAGCAGGCCCAGCUGGCCCCAUCGCCAGCUUCAUUCAACCUUUCUCUUCCACCGCAGCGAGGCCCAGGACCCAGAAAGCCCAACGAAGAGGAAGGGAUACGCCAAAGGAAAGGCAGAGAGAUUGCCAAAGAGGAGAUCGAGAAACCAGACGACGGGUGCUGGCCCUUUAAAUACUAGCCCUCUGCGACGACCAUCACCACCAACCCGGCCUUUAUUCCGUAGCCUUGCACAACUACUAUACAUAUCUGUCCAACUGUCUGCGGCCUGCAGUCUGCAGAUGCCCACAUCCUCAUCACAUCCAGUGCGGCCCUUUGACUUUGCUUGUUCUCAAUAAUGAUAAUCGGUAUUUUGAACUCGCUGCGACGCUGCACGGGUUGAUUGGUCCACGUUGAAAUCUCUCUGGGGCCCGGUGGAGAAACGAACAUCCUCAAGACUGCUGCGAAACAGAAGGGAAACAAGAGACACAAAGGGGAAAAGCAUAAAGAGGAACACAGACAACGAAACGAAGAAGUGACACGACCAGGGCAGGAGAGUGGGAAUCCUGCUACGUCUCAGUCCCUCGUCUCGCCUCGCCCACGCUAUUCUGACAAGGCUUCAGCUUGUUCGUUCGCGAUACAUCUUAAUUUUUUUUUUUUUUUUUUCCUUUUGACUUUCACCCUUACCCACCCACAUCCCCGCCUCGUCGGGCGCCAACAUCCUCAGGAGCCUUCCUCUUACGACGCAGUAUAUUAAUCCCCAUCCCUCUUCUCGCCCAAAAUGAGGCAUUCGCUGGCAAGGCUCUUGCUCAUCCUAUCAGCCUUGCUGGCUCUGGUGGCUGCGUGGACCAAAGAAGACCAUGAGAUAUUCCGCUUGCGGGAUGAGGUGCAGCAGACCGAGGGUCUCAAUGUUACCUUCUACGAUUUCCUCGGCGUGAAACCCACCGUCUCCCAGGCCGACCUCCUCAAGGCCUUCCGCAAAAAAUCCAAACAACUCCACCCGGACAAAGCCAAACGCACCUUCAUCGCCUCCUAUACAACCAACAACCGCCAAAAACCUGGCGUUCGCGUCUCCAAGGGCCCCUCGGAACGCGAAAUCGCCCACGCUCUCAAACUCGCGACAGAACGCUACGCCCGCCUCGGCGUCGUCCAUAACAUCCUGAAGGGCCCUGAGCGCGAGCGCUACGACCAUUUCCUGCACAAUGGCUUCCCCAAGUGGAAGGGGACGGGAUACUACUAUUCCCGCUUCCGCCCAGGAUUGGGCAGCGUGCUGUUCGGCCUGUUUGUGACUUUUGGCGGCGCGGCCCAUUAUGGCGCGCUAGUGCUAAGUUGGAAGCGGCAGCGGGAGUUUGUGGAUCGCUAUAUUCGACACGCCAGGCGGGCGGCGUGGGGCGAUGAGCUGGGUGUCAAGGGCAUUGCAGGCCUGGGCGAGCUGAAUGGCAGUGCCGCUGCGUCCGGAGCGGGAUCAGGCGCGGAUCCCGGUGAUGGUGCCGUGGCGAUGAACCGCAGGCAGAAGCGGAUGAUGGAUAAGGAGAAUCGAAAGGACGGGAAGAAGAAGGGGCGGUCAUCUGGCAAUGCGACGCCCAACGGCGAGGGCGUGAUCGGCUACCGCGGCGAUCGGAAGCGGGUGAUGGCGGAGAACGGCAAGGUUCUCAUCGUCGAUGCUGGGGGCAAAGUGUUUCUGGAAGAGGAGAACGAGGACGGCGUGACGGAGGAAUUCUUGUUGGAUGUCGACGAGAUUCCGCGGCCCGGUCUGCGGGAUACCUUUGCGGUGAAGUUUCCGCUCUGGGCGUACAAGCGAACCCUGGGGCGGUUUUUGGGAGCUGGUGAGGCUGAUUCAGCGGACGGCAAUGUGGCGGAGGGUGGUAGAGAGGAUGGCGUAGAUACUGACGCGGAUGUGUCUGUUGUUGGGGGGACUCAGAAGCGGCCGAAUAACUCUGGAUCGCGGAAAAAGGGGAAGAAAGGUUGAUUCAAUUCUGAUUUUGGUAUCAGGGCGUGUGUUCAUCAGUUUCUAUAUUUCUCCUUUUCUUCCUUUUUGUUUUCCUAUUUUCAACUUUUCGAUGGGUUAGCGGCUAUGCGUUGAUCUGUAUUUUAUAGAUAUAUAUAUGUAUACAUUUUUACAUAAUUUUUUUCCCCAUAUCCUGCCCAUCCUUGCCAUUCGGUCCUUUUCUUUAUUGUACUAUCUAUAACACUUCCUAUAUCCGUUCUGAUGCUUACCUAUUAGCCUGGCCAUCGCACUUCUUCCGCCGGUUAAGUUUAACCACAUACACUUCCUCUCCCCAUUCUCAUCACACCAAUCAACAACAACACGGCAUGCUCCUCGUCCACCCCUCAGACGACAACUAACUGCUUCUUUGCACCAAACCAAAGAGCCGUCCUGCGUGCAUUGCAUUGCAUGCCAUUCCAAUUGAGUUUCCCGGUUGCUCAACGCUAUCGAAAGCUUGAAUUGAAAAGCCUGCGACGGCGCUGCACAGGCUAGUCAGUUCACAAGGUUGCAGCAGGCUGCCUGUCUGCUUGGGGUGGGGGUGGAGGAUGCAGGAUUCCUCCUGUGUAAGUAUCGGCCGGCCUGGGGCGGUUUGCUAUUUUUACGUGCAGUGAUGAUGAAACGGCAGGAUGCAGAGCAGAGGGACGGAUGCUGGCGUAUGUAUGUAUGCACGUAUGUCUGCACAACUUACCGAUGCAUUUUCCGAGUUUGAGUUGGAUAUGCGGUGGGAUGGUACUGUGUUGCUCUGUAGCUUUUGUACUGGACAUGUGCACACUCUCUUUUUUUUGGUUGCGAGAGUGGCUUUUUAUAGAUAUGAAUUCAGUCGGUGGCUUAGAGUGAUUUUUUUUUUUUUUUUGCUGAGUGCUUUCGAAAGAAGCUUUGAUAUGGAAAUCAGUAUAUAGAAAACGUUGUAUAAGAGGAAACGCCCAUGAAAGAGAGA
rnacentral:sRNA from 1 species